rnacentral:ncRNA from 1 species
AGGGUUGAGGCGCAGGUUAUCAUCAGUAUCCUGCAGAGGAUGGCGGAUCCGGAUCUGCAGAAGAAAGGGAGAACCUGCCGAAGCCUGAUGUCCCCCGCCGGGACAAAGGCUGGGCCAGAAGAUAAUAUCUUCUGGACUGUCACAGGACCCGGUCCUGUGGAGCGCUCUCUUG